UUAAUUACUUUUUUUUAUUUAAAAAUCGUGAGGGACUCUAGUAUAAAAUAAGCAAAGUUCAGUUGGUAAUUUCAUAGUCUCAUCUAAAGUUCACAGAAGUUACUGCAAAUUAUAUAUCUGAGAUAUUAUCUUACAGCAAAAUGCGUGUUAUUUCAUCAUUGGUUCUCAUAACAUUUGGAGUGUUAUUGGCUAUUACUUCUGGAAAUGCCUUGACUGCAGAACAGUUAAAGCGAAGGGCACAAGCUGGAAAGUAAGAAGAUAUUCACAACCAUCAACGUCAUCUAUUUAAAUAUUUGCUUUAAUUUGUGUAUAUAUUUAAAUGAAGACAAAUAUUAAUAUGUAUUAUCAAAGAAAACAAAAAAAUUAUGAAUAUUUUCAAAAAUUGAAUAUUUUAAAUACUAUGAAAAAAAAAAAAAUGUGAAAUAAAUCAUUUAAUCAAUUAAA